GAUGAACGCUGGCGGCGUGCUUAACACAUGCAAGUCGAACGAUGAAGCCCAGCUUGCUGGGUGUAUUAGUGGCGAACGGGUGAGUAACACGUGAGCAACCUGCCCCUUACUCUGUGAUAAGCGCUGAAAACGGCGUCUAAUACUGGAUAUGUCCCGUCACCGCAUGGUGUGCGGGUGGAAAGAUUUUUCGGUUGGGGAUGGGCUCGCGGCCUAUCAGCUUGUUGGUGGGGUAAUGGCUCACCAAGGCGUCGACGGGUAGCCGGCCUGAGAGGGUGACCGGCCACACUGGGACUGAGACACGGCCCAGACUCCUACGGGAGGCAGCAGUGGGGAAUAUUGCACAAUGGGCGGAAGCCUGAUGCAGCAACGCCGCGUGAGGGAUGACGGCCUUCGGGUUGUAAACCGCUUUUAGCAGGGAAGAAGCGAAAGUGACGGUACCUGCAGAAAAAGCACCGGCUAACUACGUG
rnacentral:rRNA from 1 species